rnacentral:lncRNA from 1 species
GACCAUGGUCACUGUCAAGGGAAGAUUGGCUGUUCCCACUGAGGGCACCUUGAUGGAUUAAGGUGAUCAGCUGACCAACGUGAGGGGACAGAUGGGAGCUAGGAGCUGUCUCGGUACUGAAUCAUUUUUCAUCUAACGUGCAAGAAACCCAAAGAGCACAUCAAACAGCAAACUACGCCUAAGCUAUCCAUGUUUCUCCUGCUUCUUCUGAGAGGGUGGUUUACACGUAGCUCAACACUCUCGUGUUGCAGUAGUGUUGCAGUAUCGAGUGACUGCAACCAAACAAUGGAACAUGCAUCGUGCCUGUUGAAAGAGCCUGCAGUUGGCUUGGAACCGGGACCAUGCUGCAUUCGACAUCGUUCCUGGUGGCUGACUUGUUCCCAUAGAAUUAAAUGCUAGGCAUCCAGAAGCUGACUGUGCAUCUGAUGGGCUCACUAACAUUCAGGAACAGGUUGGCCUCAGACUACAUCAGUGGAAAGGUAUACAAUAAUUUGGGGUAACUUACAGUGUAAAAG